UGUGUGAGCUGCUGGGGAAACAAGGAGAAGCAGGCUGAACUCAUGGAGCACUCUGUUAGGACUCUGUGUCCAUACACAGUCAAACUUCCCUGGAGAACACAGAAGAAAAAUCCAGUUUCUGGAGAGCAGAUGCCCACUCCUCUCACAGGAGCCUGGAGCCAGUGGCAGCGGCUGUUCUGUAGAAGCAGUUUCCUCACCACCUCUUCCACUCAUCAAUUAUUUCAUGGGAAGAUUUCUUUUAAUUACAAGAUGGAAAAUUCAGCGUGCUUGAAGCCAUCACUGGGGAGCUUUUCAUGUGUGGUGAUGAAGCGAAGGCAUCUGAAGCAUUACAAAAAAUGCUUUAUUAUGGCAAAAUCUGGACGUCAUCAUUUACCUUUGGUUGGGGAAAACUCUG